rnacentral:rRNA from 1 species
UGGGGAAUAUUGCGCAAUGGGGGAAACCCUGACGCAGCGACGCCGCGUGUGGGAUGAAGGUCUUCGGAUUGUAAACCACUGUCGCGAGGGACGAAGCUCUGACGGUACCUCGAAAGGAAGCACCGGCUAACUCUGUGCCAGCAGCCGCGGUAAUACAGAGGGUGCGAGCGUUGUCCGGAAUCACUGGGCGUAAAGGGCGCGUAGGCGGCAUGACAAGUCACUUGUGAAAUCUCUGGGCUUAACCCAGAACGGCCAAGUGAUACUGUCGCGCUAGAGUGCAGAAGGGGCAAUCGGAAUUCUUGGUGUAGCGGUGAAAUGCGUAGAUAUCAAGAGGAACACCUGAGGUGAAGACGGGUUGCUGGGCUGACACUGACGCUGAGGCGCGAAAGCGUGGGGAGCAAACAGGAUUAGAUACCCCCGUAGUCCCUGAGCGGGCUGGCAAGGCGCAU